rnacentral:rRNA from 1 species
UACGUAGGGAGCAAGCGUUGUCCGGAAUCAUUGGGCGUAAAGAGCGCGUAGGCGGCCCUGUAAGUCCGUUCUGAAAGUCAAAGGCUCAACCUUUGAAAGCGGAUGGAUACUGCAGGGCUAGAGUCCGGAAGAGGCGAGUGGAAUUCCUGGUGUAGCGGUGAAAUGCGCAGAUAUCAGGAGGAACACCAAUUGCGAAGGCAGCUCGCUGGGACGUUACUGACGCUGAGACGCGAAAGCGUGGGGAGCAAACAGG